GGUGUAGCAGUGGGUGUAGCAGCGGGUGUAGCAGCUGGUGUAGCAGCUGGUGUAGCGACUACAGAGAGAAAAAGGCAGGAAGGUCGUUCCACAGGUUUCCGGUCGAUGUAGAACGGAGAGAGGAGUGGAUCGCUGCCCUCGGCCUGCUGGUGAGGAACUCAGCGGAGCAGUGGCGACCAGCAAGAACCCGUGGAACGUUCUGUUGGAGGACCUGUCAGCAGCGAUCCGUCUCUCCUGCGUACACACCAUCGAUCUUCCAACACCUGCCAUCCCCCAAAAACCACGAAGACAGCGAGCUCUUCAGGCUACAUGCACAGAGAGGAUGCAAACAAAAAAAAAAGAAGGGCGAUUCAAAGACACACUGAAGCUGCAGAGUGUUGUUAACCCUGCAUGAAG